CAUGCCAUCCAUCACUUAUCCCAACCAUUUGGUCUUUCUUUGGCUGUAAGGUGGUGAUGGAUCAGGUUGUGCAGAUGUGGAAUUGUUUCCUGGCUGAUGUGGUGGGCUCAGGGGCACAGUCAGGUGGGCUCAGGGUGACAGUCAGACACUGUGAUGGGCUCAGGGUGACAGUCAGACACUGUGGUGGGUUCAGGGUCACAGUCAGACACCGUGAUGGGCUCAGGAGCACAGUCAGACACAGUGAUGGGUUCAGGGGCACAGUCAGACACUGUGAAGGGCUCAGGAGCACAGUCAGACACUGUGGUGGGCUCAGGGUGACAAUCAGACACCGUGAUGGGCUCAGGGGCACAGUCAGACACCGUGAUGGGCUCAGGGGCACAGUCAGACACCGUGAUGGGCUCAGGGGCACAGUCAGACACCGUGAUGGGCUCAGGGGCACAGUCAGACACCGUGAUGGGCUCAGGGUGACAAUCAGACACCAUGAUGGGCUCAGGAGCACAGUCAGACACCGUGAUGGGCUCAGGAGCACAGUCAGACACCGUGAUGGGCUCAGGGGCACAGUCAGACACCGUGAUGAGCUCAGGGGCACAGUCAGACACCGUGAUGGGCUCAGGGGCACAGUCAGACACUGUGAUGAGCUCAGGGGCACAGUCAGACACUGUGGUGGGCUCAGGGUGACAAUCAGACACUGUGAUGAGCUCAGGGGCACAGUCAGACACCGUGGUGGGCUCAGGGGCACAGUCAGGUGGGCUCAGGGGCACAGUCAGACACCGUGAUGGGCUCAGGGUGACAAUCAGACACAGUGAUGGGUUCAGGGGCACAGUCAGACACUCAUCGUCUCACCCUCUUCAGAAAGGUUCAAAUACGUUUCUU